UACGUAGGGGGCUAGCGUUGUCCGGAUUUACUGGGUGUAAAGGGCGCGUAGGUGGACUUGUCAGUCAGAGGUGAAACCCUGCAGCUUAACUGCAGAACUGCCUUUGAUACUGCAAGCCUUGAGUCUAGAAGAGAAAAGCGGAAUUCCAGGUGUAGUGGUGAAAUACGUAGAUAUCUGGAAGAACACCAGUUGCGAAGGCGGCUUUUUGGUCUAGAACUGACACUGAGGCGCGAAAGCGUGGGUAG
rnacentral:rRNA from 1 species